rnacentral:piRNA from 1 species
UAGGUCUCCAGAGAUUCUUAUUUUGUGGCCU